rnacentral:lncRNA from 1 species
GCAAAUUUAAGUAUUACUAAAAGAGCUCCCAGAUACUGAACCCAGCCUCAGAUACUAGAGCUUUAAGCCGAGGUCAGACUCAGUCCAGUCCACCAUGCUGCACCUCUUUGUGAUCGGGAUUGUGAUGGCCAACACCUUUAUUACUGUGGUUUACUGGAUCUACAUCCUGACACAGGCCUUUUACAGGGGGACUGAAGAGGAGUCGAAAUCUAAGGAAAGCCCAUCAUAACCAUGAUCUUCUGAUCACGACAGAAGUAUAGUGCAGCUUAAGAGUAUAUUUAGAGGAUAUUUUUAGCAUUCUAUUAUUUGUAUACUUGUUUAUUAUUACUUUUUUUAGUUUAGCUUGUAGUCAUCUUUCGAUUGAUUUAGGAUUAGUGGCUCCACUGGCUGCAGAGCUUCAUCUCCAUCAGAGCUUCAGCUUCAGGUAAUGUAUUUUUUUAUCUGUGCUUCUGGAAAGCCUCGGCGGAGUACCGGGAAAAUGCCGGGAACAAAAUACUUUCUCCUGUUUGGCUGUGGGUAUUACAGCUUAUUUUGGCAGAGGCUGAGAUUAAACUCUGCGCAGAUUGUGUGACGGAGUGGCUUUGCUUUUACAGAUGGUGUUUGUCUCUUUCUCUCUCUCAUUUCUCUCUCUCUGUUCAGAUUGCUUUGGUUGCCAGAUUGAAGAAAAUACCAUUCACCCUCUCCAUUCUGCCCACACGACUCCAGCCGAGUGUACAGAAGGACGUCUCAAGCUGAAGAUUCAUCCAGAUCUUCAUCCUGCAAAAGUGACAUCCAUUAAAAGCAGCUUUCCAGCAGGAGCGUAUCUCACCCUCAGACAGCUCAGCAGACGCUUGCCGCACAUGUUCGCUCGAGAUGAACGCACCAAACCCGACCCCCCCUCACUCGGUUCUGUGGCACGCGUUCUGGAACAGCUCACGGACGACGUACACCGCCAGGCGUCUGCUUCAGGAAGUCAUAGAAAAAGAGGAGCUCUACUAUACUGACUACGUUCCCCCGGCCAGAGACACCAUCACCGUCCCCAAAUACGUCAUCUACAUCCUAAUCGGGGUGGUGGUGGUGGUGGCGGGCAUGUAUGGCAUCACCGGGCACCUCAUUAAAGAUCUGCUUCAUGAUCUGGCAGGUAAAUCGUUUGUCCUGAUCAUCUGCCAGCAGCCCAGCAGCUGACAUCACUGAAUAAAUUACAUGAUGGAUCAGUGUCUCGUCC